GAGUUUGAUCAUGGCUCAGAUUGAACGCUGGCGGCAGGCCUAACACAUGCAAGUCGAGCGGAAACGAGUUAUCUGAACCUUCGGGGAACGAUAACGGCGUCGAGCGGCGGACGGGUGAGUAAUGCCUAGGAAAUUGCCCUGAUGUGGGGGAUAACCAUUGGAAACGAUGGCUAAUACCGCAUGAUGCCUACGGGCCAAAGAGGGGGACCUUCGGGCCUCUCGCGUCAGGAUAUGCCUAGGUGGGAUUAGCUAGUUGGUGAGGUAAGGGCUCACCAAGGCGACGAUCCCUAGCUGGUCUGAGAGGAUGAUCAGCCACACUGGAACUGAGACACGGUCCAGACUCCUACGGGAGGCAGCAGUGGGGAAUAUUGCACAAUGGGCGCAAGCCUGAUGCAGCCAUGCCGCGUGUGUGAAGAAGGCCUUCGGGUUGUAAAGCACUUUCAGUCGUGAGGAAGGUAGUGUAGUUAAUAGCUGCAUUAUUUGACGUUAGCGACAGAAGAAGCACCGGCUAACUCCGUGCCAGCAGCCGCGGUAA
rnacentral:rRNA from 1 species